ACAAACUUGGUCAUUUAGAGGAAGUAAAAGUCGUAACAAGGUUUCCGUAGGUGAACCUGCGGAAGGAUCAUUACACACUGCGCCAUGCCUGUAGAGUGCGACCUGCGAAAGUUUGGUCGUCUCUAGAGGUAUAGCCAGCCUACCCUUGCUUAUAUCUACCUUUGUGAAUCCCUCGGCGGGGAAACCCGCCGCUGGGACCAUGAAAACCCUUUUGCAUUAAGCAUCCAUAUUCUGAAUUUAAUUUUAAAUAUCACAACUUUCAACAAUGGAUCUCUUGGUUCUGGCAUCGAUGAAGAACGCAGC
rnacentral:misc_RNA from 1 species